rnacentral:rRNA from 1 species
GACGAACGCUGGCGGCGUGCUUAACACAUGCCAGUCGAACGGAAAGGCCCUGCUUUUGUGGGGUGCUCGAGUGGCGAACGGGUGAGUAACACGUGAGUAACCUGCCCUUGACUUUGGGAUAACUUCAGGAAACGGGGGCUAAUACCGGAUAGGAGCUCCUGCUGCAUGGUGGGGGUUGGAAAGUUUCGGCGGUUGGGGAUGGACUCGCGGCUUAUCAGCUUGUUGGUGGGGUAGUGGCUUCCCAAGGCUGUGACGGGUAGGCGGCCUGAGAGGGUGACCGGCCACAUUGGGACUGAGAUACGGCCCAGACUCCUACGGGAGGCAGCAGUGGGGAAUAUUGCACAAUGGGCGGACGCCUGAUGCAGCAACGCCGCGUGCGGGAUGACGGCCUUCGGGUUGUAAACCGCUUUCGCCUGUGACGAAGCGUGAGUGACGGUAAUGGGUAAAGAAGCACCGGCUAACUACGUG